GAAGCUCACCUGGUCUUCUUCCUGCAAUUAGACUCACCUGAGAGAGUAACUGAGGCUUUGUUUGGUGUUAAAUGUUAUAUAGAUUCCAAUCACCAAUAUGUCUCCGACCGGGGGAUUGUGUUCCAGUCAAGCCACCGAUCGGAGGACUUGGAAGUAAUCACUGCGCGGUGGGAUGGCAGAGGAAAUCAACCACGAUUUGUUCCCAGAUCUGAGUGAAGUGGAAAAUAAGAUUGGCAGGGAAACACCGCAAAGUCUUCUGAUUUGGAUGAGGGAUGCUGCGGACUGCGAAGAUGGUUGGAGGUCUGAUGUGGUCGACCGGGGAGACCGCAGCUCUGCCUUCGGGAGCAGCUUUUCUGACAAAAUAAGCAGCUUAAAACAAGAGAUGCGGUGGCUGCGUUCUGCCGAUGUGAAGAUUCUGCGCCAGCUGGUGGCCGUUCACGAAGGUAUUGAGGCCAUGCGUUGGCUGAUGGAGGAGCGGGGGCCUUAACCAGCCGUGGCAGCAGCUUGACAGGCAGCCUGAGCAGCCUGGUGACUGUGGAGGAGCACGGGCUCUCCAUGUCACCCUGCAGAGAAAGCCAGAGUCCAACUGAGGAUUUCACUGAAAACUCUGGCGAGGAAUCAGCAGAUCACCCACCACACGCUGAUGAUGGUGAAUCAAACCACAAGAGCUCCUUUGACAUGCUGAUCCCCGAGUCUACUGAGGAAAGACCUCCUAGUCCUUCCACCUUCAAGUUUAAAGUCAGUCGUUCCACACAUGGCAGCCGUGGAUGGUCCUCAUCUGGUCCUGCCAACUGUUUGGUUGGUGCCAAAUUAGAAAACUCACAACCACAGGAUUCGGAUGUAGCUCCGUUACAAGACAUCAAAGACGGUGCUGACACCAUCAGAAGAGCUCUCCUCAGAUCUAACAUGGCAAGCAGCAAAGUGAAAAAUAGAUUUUCCCUCACUAAGCAGUCAGGAGAGACACAAACGGAGCAUCAAACUGAAGAGAGUUUCAAAGCCUCACAGAACAAUUCCAUGGAAGAAGAAGAGAGUGCGCCCAAUAGAGACACGGCUUUGCUGGGAUAUGAUGCUCAGUGGUGCUGGGUGGAGUCACAGGACGAUGUAACGUUUCUAUGAUCUUCUUUAAAGCUCAACUUAAAUGUAUGAUAUUUGGUUAAAUACAGUUAACAGUUAACUGCCAGCAAUGGAGUGGGAUUUAAAAUGCACUUUGACACUGAUAAAUGAAUGAUGAAUGAUUCUUGAAGAUUAAUAUGCAACUGUCUCUUUUUCCCUAUUCAUCUGCUUUUGUUAAGGAUGUACACUGUUUGAGUGUGUUUAAGGUGUUCCCAGGGAGAAAAAAACCCACUUUUAUUUAAAAUUAAGGAAAUAGCUAAAUAAGGAAGCUCUAUUAGAAGAUAUCUAGAAAUAUUAUGUCCUUGUCUAAAGUAUAUUUUAUACAUUGGUGACUUGAAUCAAAGCGAUACUAAUCAUGAAAUCCAU